UUUUAGAGUUUGAUCCUGGCUCAGGACGAACGCUGGCGGCGUGCCUAAUACAUGCAAGUCGAGCGGACAGAAGGGAGCUUGCUCCCGGAUGUUAGCGGCGGACGGGUGAGUAACACGUGGGUAACCUGCCUGUAAGACUGGGAUAACUCCGGGAAACCGGAGCUAAUACCGGAUAGUUCCUUGAACCGCAUGGUUCAAGGAUGAAAGACGGUUUCGGCUGUCACUUACAGAUGGACCCGCGGCGCAUUAGCUAGUUGGUGGGGUAAUGGCUCACCAAGGCGACGAUGCGUAGCCGACCUGAGAGGGUGAUCGGCCACACUGGGACUGAGACACGGCCCAGACUCCUACGGGAGGCAGCAGUAGGGAAUCUUCCGCAAUGGACGAAAGUCUGACGGAGCAACGCCGCGUGAGUGAUGAAGGUUUUCGGAUCGUAAAGCUCUGUUGUUAGGGAAGAACAAGUGCGAGAGUAACUGCUCGCACCUGGACGGACCUAACCAGAAAGCC
rnacentral:rRNA from 1 species